rnacentral:rRNA from 1 species
UAAUACGGAGGAUCCAAGCGUUAUCCGGAAUCAUUGGGUUUAAAGGGUCCGUAGGCGGUUUAAUAAGUCAGUGGUGAAAUCCCAUCGCUCAACGGUGGAACGGCCAUUGAUACUGUUAGACUUGAAUAAUUAGGAAGUAACUAGAAUAUGUAGUGUAGCGGUGAAAUGCUUAGAUAUUACAUGGAAUACCAAUUGCGAAGGCAGGUUACUACUAAUGGAUUGACGCUGAUGGACGAAAGCGUGGGUAGCGAACAGGAUUAGAUACCCUGGUAGUCCACGCCGUAAACGAUGGAUACUAGCUGUUCGGGAUCACUCCUGAGUGGCUAAGCGAAAGUGAUAAGUAUCCCACCUGGGGAGUACGUUCGCAAGAAUG